GACAGAGGUGCCGAGCGUUAGGCGGAAUCACUGGGCUUAAAGCGUGUGUAGGCGGGCGAUCAAGUACCUUGUGAAAUCCCACGGCUCAACCGUGGAACUGCUGGGUAUACUGGUUGUCUUGAGCCAGCUAGGGGCGAGCGGAACAGACGGUGGAGCGGUGAAAUGCGUAGAUAUAUGGAAGAACACCAAUAACGGCGAAGGCAGUUAACUAUUCUGCUACUGACAUUGAGGCACGAAAGCGUGGGGAGCAAAAAGG
rnacentral:rRNA from 1 species